rnacentral:rRNA from 1 species
UACGAAGGGGGCUAGCGUUGCUCGGAAUGACUGGGCGUAAAGGGCGCGUAGGCGGAUGGCACAGUCAGAUGUGAAAUUCCCGGGCUUAACCUGGGGGCUGCAUUUGAUACGUGUUGUCUAGAGUGAGGAAGAGGGUUGUGGAAUUCCCAGUGUAGAGGUGAAAUUCGUAGAUAUCGGGAGGAACACCAGAGGCGAAGGCGGCUCACUGGACAGGUACUGACACUCAACUACGAAAGCGUGGGGAGCAAACAGG